rfam:Bombyx mori DNA, contig: Bm_scaf9_contig7456, strain: p50T/Dazao, build 2, whole genome shotgun sequence.
CCAGUCGUAGCCGAUGUUCCACAGCAGGGGGCCCAGGACGGACCCCUGCGGAACACCGCGCUCGACGGG